rnacentral:siRNA from 1 species
UUGGACCGCAACAAUAUUCUUA